rnacentral:rRNA from 1 species
UACGUAGGGCGCAAGCGUUGUCCGGAAUUAUUGGGCGUAAAGAGCUCGUAGGCGGUUUGUCGCGUCUGUCGUGAAAGCUUGGGGCUUAACCCCAAGUCUGCGGUGGAUACGGGCAGACUAGAGGCAGGUAGGGGAGAACGGAAUUCCCGGUGUAGCGGUGAAAUGCGUAGAUAUAGGAAGGAAUACCAGUGGCGAAGGCGGCCUCCUGGAUCGAUACUGACGCUGAGGCGCGAAAGCGUGGGGAGCAAACAGG